rnacentral:rRNA from 1 species
CCUACGGGUGGCAGCAGUGGGGAAUAUUGCACAAUGGGGGAAACCCUGAUGCAGCGACGCCGCGUGAGUGAAGAAGUAAUUCGUUAUGUAAAGCUCUAUCAGCAGGGAAGAAAAUGACGGUACCUGAGUAAGAAGCACAGGCUAACUACGUGCCAGCAGCCGCGGUAAUAAGUAGGGGGCAAGCGUAAUCCGGAUUUACUGGGUGUAAAGGGAGCGUAGACGGCAGUGCAAGUCUGGAGUGAAAGGCGGGGGCUCAACCCCCGGACGGCUCUGGAAACUGUACGGCUGGAGUGCAGGAGAGGUAAGUGGAAUUCCUAGGUGAGCGGUGAAAUGCGUAGAUAUUAGGAGGAACACCAGUGGCGAAGGCGGCUUACUGGACUGUAACUGACGUUGAGGCUCGAAAGCGUGGGGAGCAAACAGGAUUAGAUACCCGUGUAGUC